rnacentral:rRNA from 1 species
AUUGAACGCUGGCGGCAGGCCUAACACAUGCAAGUCGAACGGUAACAGGAAGCAGCUUGCUGCUUUGCUGACGAGUGGCGGACGGGUGAGUAAUGUCUGGGAAACUGCCUGAUGGAGGGGGAUAACUACUGGAAACGGUAGCUAGUACCGCAUAACGUCGCAAGACCAAAGAGGGGGACCUUCGGGCCUCUUGCCAUCGGAUGUGCCCAGAUGGGAUUAGCUAGUAGGUGGGGUAACGGCUCACCUAGGCGACGAUCCCUAGCUGGUCUGAGAGGAUGACCGGCCACACUGGAACUGAGACACGGUCCAGACUCCUACGGGAGGCAGCAGUGGGGAAUAUUGCACAAUGGGCGCAAGCCUGAUGCAGCUAUGCCGCGUGUAUGAAGAAGGCCUUCGGGUUGUAAAGUACUUUCAGCGGGGAGGAAGGGAGUAAAGUUAAUACCUUUGCUCAUUGACGUUACCCGCAGAAGAAGCACCGGCUAACUCCGUG